CCUACGUGUGGCAGCAGUGAGGAAUAUUGGUCAAUGGACGAGAGUCUGACCCAGCCACGUAGCGUGAAGGAUGACUGCCCUCUGGGUUGUAAACUUCUUUUAUAUGGGAAUAAAAUGUUCCACGUGUGGGAUUUUGUAUGUACCAUAUGAAUAAGGAUCGGCUAACUCCGUGCCAGCAGCCGCGGUAAUACGGAGUAUCCGAGCGUUAUCCGGAUUUAUUGGGUUUAAAGGGAGCGUAGGUGGAUUGUUAAGUCAGUUGUGAAAGUUUGCGGCUCAACUGUAAAAUUGCAGUUGAAACUGGCAGUCUUGAGUACAGUAGAGGUGGGCGGAAUUCGUGGUGUAGCGGUGAAAUGCUUAGAUAUCACGAAGAACUCCGAUGGCGAAGGCAGUUCACUGGACUGCAACUGACACUGAGGCUCGAAAGUGUGGGUAUCAAACAGGAUUAGAUACCCGAGUAGUC
rnacentral:rRNA from 1 species